AUAUCUCUCUGUACGGGAAGGAUGAGAAGCUUCGACCAAGGUUCGAUUCGAGCGUCAGCGAGAAAGCGUUGCCGCAGGCAACGACCCGAAGG
rnacentral:sRNA from 1 species